CAGUAGCCGCGGUAAUACAGAGGGUGCAAGCGUUAAUCGGAAUUACUGGGCGUAAAGCGCGCGUAGGUGGUUUGUUAAGUUGGAUGUGAAAUCCCCGGGCUCAACCUGGGAACUGCAUCCAAAACUGGCAAGCUAGAGUAUGGUAGAGGGUGGUGGAAUUUCCUGUGUAGCGGUGAAAUGCGUAGAUAUAGGAAGGAACACCAGUGGCGAAGGCGACCACCUGGACUGAUACUGACGCUCAGGUGCGAAAGCGUGGGGAGCAAACAGGAUUAGAUACCCCAGUAGUCCCUGUCUCUUAUAC
rnacentral:rRNA from 1 species